rnacentral:rRNA from 1 species
GGCGAGCGGCGGACGGGUGAGUAAUGCCUAGGAAUCUGCCUGGUAGUGGGGGAUAACGCUCGGAAACGGACGCUAAUACCGCAUACGUCCUACGGGAGAAAGCAGGGGACCUUCGGGCCUUGCGCUAUCAGAUGAGCCUAGGUCGGAUUAGCUAGUUGGUGAGGUAAUGGCUCACCAAGGCGACGAUCCGUAACUGGUCUGAGAGGAUGAUCAGUCACACUGGAACUGAGACACGGUCCAGACUCCUACGGGAGGCAGCAGUGGGGAAUAUUGGACAAUGGGCGAAAGCCUGAUCCAGCCAUGCCGCGUGUGUGAAGAAGGUCUUCGGAUUGUAAAGCACUUUAAGUUGGGAGGAAGGGCAGUUACCUAAUACGUAAUUGUUUUGACGUUACCGACAGAAUAAGCACCGGCUAACUCUGUGCCAGCAGCCGCGGUAAUACAGAGGGUGCAAGCGUUAAUCGGAAUUACUGGGCGUAAAGCGCGCGUAGGUGGUUCGUUAAGUUGGAU